rnacentral:rRNA from 1 species
UACGAAGGGUGCAAGCGUUACUCGGAAUUACUGGGCGUAAAGCGUGCGUAGGCGGUUUGUUAAGUCCGUUGUGAAAGCCCUGGGCUCAACCUGGGAAUUGCAGUGGAUACUGGCAAGCUAGAGUACGGUAGAGGUUGGUGGAAUUCUCGGUGUAGAGGUGAAAUUCGUAGAUAUCGAGAGGAACACCGGUGGCGAAGGCGGCCAACUGGACAGAUACUGACGCUGAGACACGAAAGCGUGGGGAGCAAACAGG